rnacentral:rRNA from 1 species
UCGAAACCUGCACAGCAGAACGACCCGCGAACUUGUUUACCAAACCCCGAGGGGCGGGGCCCGCUCUGUCCCCCUCGGGAGCCGGGACGCGCCGAGAGGCGCGCGACGGCAAGUACCCAAACACCGGCGCGGGUUGCGCCAAGGACUAUGAAAAUUCUACCGCGUCCCACGGCCCCGGGCGACCGGGCGCCGCGGCGACCGCGCGUCGAAAGAUAUAAAGUUGAACGACUCUCGGCAACGGAUAUCUCGGCUCUCGCAUCGAUGAAGAACGUAGCGAAAUGCGAUACUUGGUGUGAAUUGCAGAAUCCCGUGAACCAUCGAGUCUUUGAACGCAAGUUGCGCCCGAAGCCAUCCGGCCGAGGGCACGUCUGCCUGGGCGUCACGCAUCGCGUCGCCCCCUCCCCCUCCGACUCGGAGCGGCGGGAGGGGCGGACUAUGGCCCCCCGUGCGCCCCCGCGCGCGGCCGGCCUAAACACGGAGCCCGUGGCCGCGAGCGCCGCGACGUUUGGUGGUUGAAUAUCGAGCAUCGCGUCGCGCGCCGUAGCGUAUUCGGAGAGCUCGAAGGACCCUUAGGCGAAUCGGCCUACCCUUGCGACCCC